rnacentral:rRNA from 3 species
AAUCCAUAGGUUAAUGAGGCGAACCGGGGGAACUGAAACAUCUAAGUACCCCGAGGAAAAGAAAUCAACCGAGAUUCCCCCAGUAGCGGCGAGCGAACGGGGAGGAGCCCAGAGCCUGAAUCAGCAUGUGUGUUAGUGGAAGCGUCUGGAAAGGCGCGCGAUACAGGGUGACAGCCCCGUACACAAAAGCGCAUGUGCUGUGAGCUCGAUGAGUAGGGCGGGACACGUGGUAUCCUGUCUGAAUAUGGGGGGACCAUCCUCCAAGGCUAAAUACUCCUGACUGACCGAUAGUGAACCAGUACCGUGAGGGAAAGGCGAAAAGAACCCCGGCGAGGGGAGUGAAAAAGAACCUGAAACCGUGUACGUACAAGCAGUGGGAGCACCCUUCGGGG